UACGAAGGGGGCUAGCGUUGCUCGGAAUCACUGGGCGUAAAGGGUGCGUAGGCGGGGCUUUAAGUCAGGGGGGAAAUCCUGGAGCUCAACUCCAGAACUGCCUUUGAUACUGAAGAUCUUGAGUCCGGGAGAGGUGAGUGGAACUGCGAGUGUAGAGGUGAAAUUUGUAGAUAUUCGCAAGAACACCAGUGGCGAAGGCGGCUCACUGGCCCGGUACUGACGCUGAGGCACGAAAGCGUGGGGAGCAAACAGG
rnacentral:rRNA from 1 species